GAGUUUGAUCUUGGCUCAGGACGAACGCUGGCGGCGUGCCUAAUACAUGCAAGUCGAGCGAGGGUUUUUAAGACCCUAGCGGCGGACGGGUGAGUAACACGUAGGCAACCUGCCUCUCAGACCGGGAUAACAUAGGGAAACUUAUGCUAAUACCGGAUAGGUUUUUGGAUUGCAUGAUCCGAAAAGAAAAGAUGGCUUUUCGCUAUCACUGGGAGAUGGGCCUGCGGCGCAUUAGCUAGUUGGUGGGUAACGGCCUACAAGCGACGAUGCGUAGCCGACCUGAGAGGGUGACCGGCCACACUGGGACUGAGACACGGCCCAGACUCCUACGGGAGGCAGCAGUAGGGAAUUUU
rnacentral:rRNA from 1 species